UGUUACUUUUGUUUCCCCUGAAAUUAAUACUUCAUCUAUGGGAGAAACACCUUGAGACUAUAUAAAUAUAGCCUGUUCCUCUUCCAAAUUUCAUCCAGUCAUUUUAGUAUACAUUGAUUCUUGCCUGAAUUAAUUAAUACUAUGAUGGUUGCAAAAUGGUGAUUUUUCUAACUCUAUUAUUUCUUCUACAUUUUCAGUUGACAGUCUAUCAGACUUCUAUUUUUUAAUUUAUUUACUUUGAAACAGGGUCUUGUUCUGUCACCCAGGUUGGAGUGCAGUGGUGUAAUCAUCAUAGCUCACUGAAGUCUCAACCUCCCGAGCUCAAGCAAUCCGCCCAACCUCAGCCUCCUGAGUAGCUGGGAUAUAGACUGGAGUGCACUGGCGCAACCUUGGUUCACUGCAGCCUCUGCCUGUGAGCUCAAGCAAUUCUCCUGCUUCAGCCUCCC
rnacentral:lncRNA from 13 species